GACGAACGCUGGCGGCGUGCUUAACACAUGCAAGUCGAACGAAGAGCGAUGGAAGCUUGCUUCUCUCAAUCUUAGUGGCGCACGGGUGAGUAACGCGUAAUCAACCUGCCCUUCAGAGGGGGGCAACAGUUGGAAACGACUGCUAAUACCGCAUACGAUCUAAUCUCGGCAUCGAGGAUAGAUGAAAGGUGGCCUCUACAUGUAAGCUAUCACUGAAGGAGGGGAUUGCGUCUGAUUAGCUAGUUGGAGGGGUAACGGCCCACCAAGGCGAUGAUCAGUAGCCGGUCUGAGAGGAUGAACGGCCACAUUGGGACUGAGACACGGCCCAGACUCCUACGGGAGGCAGCAGUGGGGAAGCUUCCGCAAUGGACGAAAGUCUGACGGAGCAACGCCGCGUGAGUGAUGACGGCCGUCGGGUUGUAAAGCUCUGUUAAUCGGGAAGAAAGGCCUUCUUGCGAAUAGGGAGAAGGAUUGACGGUACCGGAAUAGAAAGCCACGGCUAACUACGUG
rnacentral:rRNA from 1 species